CAGGAGAAAGUCGGCCACCGGACCGGGGGUUGAAGACGAGCCGUCGGCUUCCGGACACGAGCCACCAAGACUUCAUCCGACCGGGGCCUCCUGCCAACUCUUUCAUGGGCGUCACCACUCUUCCCGAGCGUGCCGCCAGC
rnacentral:lncRNA from 1 species